AUUGAACGCUGGCGGCAGGCCUAACACAUGCAAGUCGAACGGUAGCACAGAGAGCUUGCUCUCGGGUGACGAGUGGCGGACGGGUGAGUAAUGUCUGGGAAACUGCCCGAUGGAGGGGGAUAACUACUGGAAACGGUAGCUAAUACCGCAUAACGUCGCAAGACCAAAGUGGGGGACCUUCGGGCCUCACACCAUCGGAUGUGCCCAGAUGGGAUUAGCUAGUAGGUGGGGUAAUGGCUCACCUAGGCGACGAUCCCUAGCUGGUCUGAGAGGAUGACCAGCCACCCUGGAACUGAGCAACGGUCCAGACUCCUACGGGAGGCAGCAGUGGGGAAUAUUGCACAAUGGGCGCAAGCCUGAUGCAGCCAUGCCGCGUGUAUGAAGAAGGCCUUCGGGUUGUAAAGUACUUUCAGCGGGGAGGAAGGCGGUGAAGUUAAUAGCUUCACCGAUUGACGUUACCCGCAGAAGAAGCACCGGCUAACUCCGUGCCAGCAGCCGCCGUAA
rnacentral:rRNA from 1 species